AGCAUAUCAAUAAGCGAGAAAAGAAACCCAACAGGGAUUGCCUCAGUAACGGCGAGUGAAGCGGCAACAGCUCAAAUUUGAAAGCUGGCCCUUUUAGGGUCCGCGUUGUAAUUUGUAGAGGAUGAUUCGGCGAGGGCUCCCGCCUAAGUCCCCUGGAACGGGGCGUCAUAGAGGGUGAGAAUCCCGUAUGCGGUGGGCUGCCUUAGCCAUGUGAAUCUCCUUCGACGAGUCGAGUUGUUUGGGAAUGCAGCUCUAAAUGGGAGGUAAAUUUCUUCUAAAGCUAAAUACCGGCCAGAGACCGAUAGCGCACAAGUAGAGUGAUCGAAAGAUGAAAAGCACUUUGGAAAGAGAGUUAAAAAGUACGUGAAAUUGUUGAAAGGGAAGCGCUUGCAACCAGACUUGUCCGCAGUUGCUCAGCCGGUCUCCUGACCGGCGUACUCUUCUGCGGCCAGGCCAGCAUCAGUUCGGGCGGUCGGAUAAAGACCUCGGGAAUGUAGCUCCUCUCGGGGAGUGUUAUAGCCCGGGGUGGAAUGCGGCCAGCCUGGACUGAGGAUCUCGCUUCGGCAAGGAUGCUGGCGUAAUGGUUGUAAGCGGCCCGUCUUGAAACACGGACCAAGGAGUCUAACAUCUAUGCGAGUGUUUGGGUGUCAAACCCAUACGCGUAAUGAAAGUGAACGGAGGUGGGGAACCCGCAAGGGCGCACCAUCGGCCGAUCCUGAUGUCUUCGGAUGGAUUUGAGCAAGAGCAUAGCUGUUGGGGACCCGAAAGAUGGUGAACUAUGCCUGAAUAGGGGUGAAGCCAGAGGAAACUCUGGUGGAGGCUCGCAGCGGUUCUGACGUGCAAAUCGAUCGUCAAAUUUGGGUAUAGGGGCGAAAGACUAAUCGAACCAUCUAGUAGCUGGUUCCUGCGA
rnacentral:rRNA from 1 species